rnacentral:misc_RNA from 1 species
AAGUAAUGUAUUAUUUCUGAAUAACAAACAUCUCCAUCUGCCAAAUGACAUAUUCAAGCUAACAUCCCGAAAUGUCAUCAUGCAUUGCAUUCCUAAGUUGAACAUCAUAGUCAACUUCCAAAACUAACUUUUAAGAGCCCAUUGGCAUCGAAAAUUUACAGUUUCCUUCUUUUGCAAGGGUCAGGAGGCAAAUAGAAAUGCAUGCAGCAGUCCAUUGUGCUACUUAAAUUAUUUCAGCUUCUAUAAAACUUGCAAUUUCCAAUCAAAUUGAAGAUGACAACUGAACAUGUAAUGGAACAGGCACAACUGAUAAAUAUGAACUGCUUUCUUGUCAUGAAUUUGUUGCACGCUUAGAAUGAAGGCCUCGCAAUUCAAGAAAUACAAAACCUAGAAUAAUUGUUGUUCAAUGGAGUUGGCACAUAAGCAAUUCUUCUUAGGUUGUGUGUCCUAAUGGAAUUCAAACUAUAAAUCCCACUUCAUUACAAUCAUCAAUUCAACUACAUGCACUAUCAGAUGUGCCCAAAGGGAAUUCCAUGAUAGACAAAAAAACCAUCUCCCUAACCCAUGAAGAAGCACAAUCAUUAAAACAGCCAAUAUCCAUCAGCAGUCAAGAAUGCCAAAACUGAUAUUCAAUGAAAGAAAUUGAAGACCGAUGCUUUCAAAAAU